AUUGAACGCUGGCGGCAUGCCUUACACAUGCAAGUCGAACGGCAGCACGGGUGCUUGCACCUGGUGGCGAGUGGCGAACGGGUGAGUAAUACAUCGGAACAUGUCCUGUAGUGGGGGAUAGCCCUGCGAAAGCCGGAUUAAUACCGCAUACGAUCUACGGAUUAAAGCGGGGGACCUUCGGCCCUCGCGCUAUAGGGUUGGCCGAUGGCUGAUUAGCUAGUUGGUGGGGUAAAGGCCUACCAAGGCGACGAUCAGUAGCUGGUCUGAGAGGACGACCAGCCACACUGGGACUGAGACACGGCCCAGACUCCUACGGGAGGCAGCAGUGGGGAAUUUUGGACAAUGGGCGAAAGCCUGAUCCAGCAAUGCCGCGUGUGUGAAGAAGGCCUUCGGGUUGUAAAGCACUUUUGUCCGGAAAGAAAUCCUUGGCCCUAAUACGGUCGGGGGAUGACGGUACCGGAAGAAUAAGCACCGGCUAACUACGUG
rnacentral:rRNA from 1 species